rnacentral:lncRNA from 1 species
AAAUACCUGUUCCUAAGCGUGACAUCUAACUGUGCCUGAUCGUGAAAGAGUAACCAGAAGUAAGGCCGCCAUCUUACUUUCCCCUUGUUGAUUUUACAGAACCUCAGGUCAGGUGUGUGGACCUGUAAGCCUCUCUCUCUCCCUCUCUCUCUCUCUCUCUCUUUCUCGGCUCCCCAGGCCAGAGGGCCUUCCCGUGCCCAGAUGAGAGAACACGGAGUGUCCUUUGAUGGCACAGAGUCACCAAGGGUGGGAAAGGCAGGGGCUCAGAUGCAAAGAGCCCUUGGGACAGGCUGGAUUCUCCCUGCCCCCACCACCAACCCAGGUGAAUGAAUGAGCGAGCAGAAGACUGGCUGAGGGAGGGAAUGAAUGAUGGGUGGACAUGGCUGAGCCUCAGUUUCCUCCUGUACAGGAUGAGAGGUUGGAGGAGUUCCAUGGUUUUCGAACUCUGUUUUUCCGGUCUUCACAUAAUAAUGGACAUAGAAGCACCAUAUCUAAAACAGGUAUCAGUGGGCAAGUCUGAAUGAAACCAGGGCCGGCAGGUCCGAGCUCCACAGCUGUUUGCUCCCCCAGGCUCCUUGGACCCUCCCUGGCCCUGGGUUAUCUCCACGCAAAUGGAAAGACUGGACUCAGUGGUCCCCGAGGUCCCUGCGGCUCUGAGACUCUCUGAUAACCAUAAUUCCCCAUGUACGACAUAGGCCGGCUUGGUGUGGGGUCUCGGGGCUUCCUUGUAAUCAAGGAAUCAGCCAGGUUAAUGGAGCCAGGAGAUGGCUCUGUGACCCAGAGGGCGCCUGGGGUCUCAGCAGCAGGGUUUCUUUACCAGGAUGGCUGCUGUUUGCACACUGGGGUUACGCAGGCUCCUUCCCACAGAGUGGGGUCCCCGUGGGCCCACGGCUGCGGCCCCAUUUCCCUCAGGGAGCCAUGUGCUGACUCUCCGAUGAGCACCUGGACCCUCUCCCCAGGUCUGCUGAUGGCCAGCUUUCUCUGCACCCCCUCAUGGGGUGCAGAGCCCGGCCUGAUAAAAUCGCUGACGCAGAUUGCCGGCCCAGCUGCGGUGCUGGCAUGGACCCAGCAGCCCAGACGGUCACUGGCAGUGGUUCAGCUGGUUAUUGGCAUCGGCGACAUUGUCCUGCUCAGACUUUAAAGGCGUAAGGCUUGCCUCAUUCCUGGGUCAAACGCUAGCAGGAGCAAAGUGGGACGCGUGGACCCACCCUAAGGGAAUUCCUCAGCUGGUUGAUCCCGUGGGGGAGGGGGUGGAGGUCACGGCUACUGCGGACAGAUACAGAUGAACUGAGGGGCCAACGGCCCUGGAGUUUCUGUCAGACUUGUGGAGUCUCUUUUGGGCUCGUGGGAGACCCGUGACAUCUCUGCUACCUUUUCCCGGAAGCUGACCCACUAUAAACCAUCUCACCUGUCCUGAGCAUGAGAAAUAAAAAAAACAAACAAACAAAAACAAAACAAAAAACUCCCCUGUAACUUGAAAUUUAGCGUUCUGGAUUUCUCAGCUCACUCACCCAUAUGUCUUCACUGGGUAUCUAUUCUAAAAGGGGCACAAUGUUAGGUGCUGGAGAUUAAAAA